UGGGAAAAAAAAUAGGAGCAUUAAAUAAAAAGGGGAAAUGUGAAAGAGAGUGGGGUAUUUUCCUAAAUCUAAAAUUCUAGGCAUUAGGAGACAAGAAGUAGCAUUUAUGGUGGGGGGGGAAGAAGGAAGUAGAAUAGGUAAAGAGAUUGACAGACAGACAGACAGACACAUACACAAAACACAAAAGAGAAAGAGAGAAAGAUAGGAAUCAAUAAUCAAUUGGUGCAGGCAGAUGAUCAGUGAUAGGGCAAAUAAUAAACAAUAAUGAAAGAGUUUCACCAAAUCAAGCAUAAAAGUGAUGAAGAAUGUACUGUUUCCGAACACCCCCAAUAUUGGCCUCAUUGGGCAAUAGGCAUUACCAUUUUUUCAAAAAAAAUGGCCGCCCCAUGCCAUGCAAAUUGGCAGUGCAUGCGGUAAAUUUGGACCACCCUUCCAUUUUGUAGUACUCUCCGGCUGCGUAAUAUAUAAUAUAGAGAUCAGCCAAACAUAGCAAAAGAGAUAUAAUUAAGCUCUUCAGCUCGGGCAGCUGGCUGGCUCUUUUGCAUGCGCAUGAGGUCUCCCCAUCCCCUAUA
rnacentral:lncRNA from 1 species